GACGAACGCUGGCGGCGUGCCUAACACAUGCAAGUCGAACGGAAAGGCCCUGCUUUUGUGGGGUGCUCGAGUGGCGAACGGGUGAGUAACACGUGAGUAACCUGCCCUUGACUUUGGGAUAACUUCAGGAAACUGGGGCUAAUACCGGACAGGAGCUCCUGCUGCAUGGCGGGGGUUGGAAAGUUUCGGCGGUUGGGGAUGGACGCGCGGCUUAUCAGCUUGUUGGUGGGGUAGUGGCUUACCAAGGCUUUGACGGGUAGCCGGCCUGAGAGGGUGACCGGCCACAUUAGGCCUGAGGUACGCCCCAGACUCCUACGGGAGGCAACAGUGGGAAGUAUUGCACAGUGGGCGGGAGCCUGUUGCGGCGGCGCCGCGUGCGGGAUGACGGCCUUCGGGUUAUAAACCGCUUUCGCCUGUGACGAAGCGUGAGUGACGGUAAUGGAUAAAGAAGCACCGGCUAACUACGUG
rnacentral:rRNA from 1 species